rnacentral:misc_RNA from 1 species
UGGCUCUCGCACCGAUGAAGAACGCAGCGAAAUGCGAUAAGUAGUGUGAAUUGCAGAAUUCAGUGAAUCAUCGAAUCUUUGAACGCACCUUGCACCUUUUGGUAUUCCGAAAGGUACACCCGUUUGAGUGUCAUUGUAGCCUCACUCCACCAGCAUUUUGUUGAUGGAUGUGGACCUGGACUUUGUUGUGUUACUACAACUAGUCUGAAAUGCAUGAGUGCACCCUGCUGUUGCAGCGUUUUCAGUGUGAUAAGCAUCUUCACUGGAUCAAGUUCCCUUGGGACACGCAGUCAUUGUGGGCUCUGUGCUGGCAAACUGUCUUUGGACAACUUUGACAAUUUGACCUCAGAUCGGGUGGGACUACCCGCUGA